UGUAGUCCUCCAGACAACAUUAAUCUAUCGAUGGGGCUGAAGUGAAGACGUGAUUGAUGCUGUUGCAGACAUUGGUGACAUAGGAAGUCACUUGCAUUUGCAUAGGAACUUUCCAGACAUCC